GGCGAGUGAACAGGGAUGAGCCCAGCACCGAAGCCUGUGGCCAUUUGGUUACUAGGCAAUGUGGUGUUCAGGUCGUUCCGCAGAGACACUGCUCCUUUCUAAGUCCAUCAAUGAGUACGGUUGUACUGACAUGGCCCAUGGAGGGUGAAAGGCCCGUAAGAGAGGAGUUUUGGUAAGACAGUGUCUCUCUGGAUUGACCUUGGAGUCGGGUUGUUUGGGAAUGCAGCCCUAAGCGGGUGGUAAACUCCAUCCAAGGCUAAAUACAAGCACGAGUCCGAUAGCGAACAAGUACCGUGAGGGAAAGUUGAAAAGUACUUUGAAGAGAGAGUAAACAGUGCGUGAAACCGCUUAGAGGUAAACGGGUGGAGUUGAACUGUAAUCUCUGAGAAUUCAGCUGGCGAGAAUUAUUUGAGCUUGGUCAAAUUGGUAGGGCCCCGGGGUAUGCUUAGGUGCAUGUUCUGACCUUCUGGUUGGAAUGCGCGUUGCUCUUAUCAAGGGCUGCGCGCCUCGGGUGUCCGGCUGGCCAUGUCACCAGUGCACUUUCUCGGAGUGAUCACCACGACCGGCGUGCUGCUUGACUGUUCUAGUUAAAUCGAACGUUCAUCGUCCUUGUGGCGUUGGGUGGUCGACACGGCAGGUAACUGGGGGCUUGCUUCGGCUUGUUUCUCGGUGUAUGCUGGCUUUAACGGUUCUAUGCGGUGUGUCGGAGACGGCGGCUAGUAGUGUGUGCGUGCGUUUCUAUCUGUUGGCAUAUUCUGGUUUGGUGGCUGUGUGCUUGUUCAAGCAGGCCCAGUUAUAGCCGGGGUGUGUCAGUGGGUGGUUGCGUGUGUGGCACUUUUCAGGGCCAACAGUCUGUGGUGUUGUGGUAGACUAUCCACCUGACCCGUCUUGAAACACGGACCAAGGAGAGUAACAUGUGCGCGAGUCAUUGGGCGUAACGAAACCCACAGGCGUAGUGAAAGUAAAGGGCUGGCUUGUCCAGUCUAAGGUGAGAUCCUGUCGUUGUUCAUGCGUGGUAUCACCAAGCUUGGAGCGGUAGGCGCAUCACCGGCCCGUCCCAUGAUGUGGUCACAGUCUUCGGAUUGUGCGCCGUCGGGGCGGAGCAUGAGCGUACAUGUUGAGACCCGAAAGAUGGUGAACUAUGCUUGCGCAGGUUGAAGCCAGAGGAAACUCUGGUGGAGGACCGCAGCGAUUCUGACGUGCAAAUCGAUCGUCAAACGUGAGUAUAGGGGCGAAAGACUAAUCGA
rnacentral:rRNA from 1 species